CAAGCUCUGUCUUCAGCUUGAGAAAAACAAAAACAAAACCGAAAAGCGCCAAAUAGUUUCAGCUUCCAUAAGAAGAAAAAAACUCUCUGGUCUACCGCUAAUUCUUCACUGUUUUCUUUGACUGAUGACCAGUGCUUAUUCAGACUAGGCAAUGCUGGCUUGAAAAAUGAAGCUUACCUAGUUAGCAGCGGAAGUGGACCGAAUCGCUACGGACACGAGUAUGAAAGGGACUGAAUCGUGACGCAUCCACCAGUUCACAGCAGUUAACUGAAGAAAGAAAAUGUGUUUGACUUAUGGUUUUUUCCAAAUAAGUCAAAUUCGCGCAUAUGACAUCACGAGUUUAACGCUUCCGGUAAUUGGCUAAAAAUAGAGUUACAACAAAAGCCCUUGAUCUCUGAAUUUUACCUCCUUUCUCCGAGUAAGAACAGUUUCGAGAAAUACCACUCUGUACCAG